rnacentral:lncRNA from 1 species
AGGAGACAGAGGACCGAGCCAGGACAUCAGUAGUGAGGAGGAGACAGAGGACCGAGCCAGGACAUCAGUAUUGAGGAGGAGAUGGAGAGGACCGAGCCAGGACAUCAGUAGUGAGGAGGAGACAGAGGACCGAGCCAGGACAUCAGUAUUGAGGAGGAGAUGGAGAGGACCGAGCUAGGACAUCAGUAGUGAGGAGGAGACAGAGGACCGAGCCAGGACAUCAGUAUUGAGGAGGAGAUGGAGAGGACCGAGCCAGGCCGUCAGUAUUGAGGAGGAGAUGGAGAGGACCGAGCCAGGACAUCAGUAUUGAGGAGGAGAUGGAGAGGACCGAGCCAGGCCGUCAGUAUUGAGGAGGAGUUGGAGAGGACCGAGCCAGGACAUCAGUAUUGAGGAGGAGUUAGAGAGGACCGAGCCAGGUCGUCAGUAUUGAGGAGGAGAUGGAGAGGACCGAGCCAGGUCGUCAGUAUUGAGGAGGAGUUGGAGAGGACCGAGCCAGGCCGUCAGUAUUGAGGAGGAGAUAGAGAGGACCGAGCCAGGUCGUCAGUAUUGAGGAGGAGAUGGAGAGGACCGAGCCAGGUCGUCAGUAUUGAGGAGGAGUUGGAGAGGACCGAGCCAGGCCGUCAGUAUUGAGGAGGAGUUGGAGAGGACCGAGCCAGGCCGUCAGUAUUGAGGAGGAGUUGGAGAGGACCGAGCCAGGCCGUCAGUAUUGAGGAGGAGUUGGAGAGGACCGAGCCAGGCCGUCAGUAUUGAGGAGGAGUUGGAGAGGACCGAGCCAGGUCGUCAGUACUGAGGAGGAGUUAGAGUGGACUGAGCCAGGCAUAGCUAGUACUGGCACAACAGCAGUUAAUCUAACUACAUGUUCUCUUGAACACGCUACGACACGUGUAGGAGUGUAUGAGUGUGAGAUGAUGGGAGGGGCUGUUUUCACAAUCUGACACUGUGUUCCAGGUUUAUAGGCCAAUGGCAGGAGAGACACGCUCAAAGACAUCAAAGAAUAUUACAGUUCAUCACCCGCCCCCCCUCCCCACCUACAGUGUAAUGACAUUUAGCCAAUCCUAUAAAAAUCCCAAGAAACCUGUGGGUAUAAAUCAAUUGCUUUCCAGCUGCUUCUCACAUCCAUUAUUUAACAAGCACCGCUUCCACAUCAUAUUCCAUAGGCAGCCAUUUCCACAACACACACACCAAAACCCACAUCAGAAGAAACACCAACAUGCUAGAUAACUUCACAAACCCCCUAGCCCUGUGGAAAAGAGGAUCAGUGUGUGUAUGUGCUGACAAGCCAGUUUACAUCAAAUCCCAUUAGUUUGAAUCCAGGCAAACUGUUAAGUGUGUUGGUUCCAACCUGGUGCUCUGUUACUCUCUCCUAUCGGACACACCUGUCAGGGACCAGGCUUCCAGCAGCAUCACCACAGUCUCUAAGGCUGUCCACAUCUGACGCCUGUACGUUAGCUACCACAGCCUCCAAUCAGAUAUACUAGGGCAUAGUUUAUACAGUGUGUGUGUGUGUGUGUGUGUGUGUGUGUGUGUGUGUGUGUGUGUGUGUGCAUGCGUGCGCGUGUGCAUGGGUAGUUGUAGGGCAACAGGAAGCGAUGAGGGGGGCUCUGGUUCCAACAGCAGUCACAGAGUACCCUCUUCAGGCAGGUCGGGAGAACUUCAGGCCAGGGA